AUUUUAGUGUUUUAUUAUUUAAUUAUUUUAGAACUUUUCUCUGUCUUUGGUCUCCUUGAAGGUAUAUGCCUAGCAGUGAGAACUCUGAGGCAAAGGGUAUGGAUAUUUUAGUCACUUUAAAAAAAAACCUUCAUUCCAAACUGAUUUCCAUAAUGAUCACACUUAAUCACAGCUUUGCUAAUAGUAUAUUCAUGUGCCUGUCAUUCUAUAGGGCAAUUAGAUGGCACAAUGGAUGGAGUACCAGGUCUAGAGUCAGGAGAAUUCACCUUCCAAAAUUGAAAUCUGGUCUGAGACACUCGCUGUGUUACUCUGGGGGGCUAAUAAUAAAGCACACCACCUACCCAAGGCCUGGGAGAGGAACGAUGGAAUCAAGAUACAGAAUGAAACCUUUUUUAAAAUUAACAAUAUGGAAAUGUGUUUUGACUGACUAAAGCAUAUUUGUCAUGAAGAGUUUUAGUUUUCUCUCAUUUUGAAAGUAAAGAGGAUAUGAGAGAAAGAAAUAAAAUUUUGGUUUUUUUGGAAAAAAAAUUUAAA
rnacentral:lncRNA from 1 species